UGGGAAAUAUUGGACAAUGGGGGCAACCCUGAUCCAGCCAUGCCGCGUGUGUGAAGAAGGCCUUUUGGUUGUAAAGCACUUUAAGCAGUGAAGAAGACUCCAUGGUUAAUACCCAUGGACGAUGACAUUAGCUGCAGAAUAAGCACCGGCUAACUCUGUGCCAGCAGCCGCGGUAAUACAGAGGGUGCAAGCGUUAAUCGGAAUUACUGGGCGUAAAGCGAGCGUAGGUGGCUUGAUAAGUCAGAUGUGAAAGCCCCGGGCUUAACCUGGGAACGGCAUCUGAUACUGUUAGGCUAGAGUAGGUGAGAGGAAGGUAGAAUUCCAGGUGUAGCGGUGAAAUGCGUAGAGAUCUGGAGGAAUACCGAUGGCGAAGGCAGCCUUCUGGCAUCAUACUGACACUGAGGUUCGAAAGCGUGGGUAGCAAACA
rnacentral:rRNA from 1 species